rnacentral:rRNA from 1 species
UCGAGAAUUUUUCUCAAUGGGGGAAACCCUGAAGGAGCGACGCCGCGUGGGGGAUGAAUGGCUUCGGCCCGUAAACCCCUGUCAUUCGGGAUCAAUGCUUGUUACUUAACACGUAAUAAGUUGAUAGUACCGGAAGAGGAAGGGACGGCUAACUCUGUGCCAGCAGCCGCGGUAAUACAGAGGUCCCAAGCGUUGUUCGGAUUUACUGGGCGUAAAGGGUGCGUAGGUGGUUGGGUAAGUCUGAUGUGAAAUCUCCGGGCUCAACCCGGAAAUGGCAUUGGAAACUACCUGACUCGAGGAUUGGAGGGGGGACUGGAAUACUUGGUGUAGCAGUGAAAUGCGUAGAUAUCAAGUGGAACACCAGUGGCGAAGGCGAGUCCCUGGACAACUCCUGACACUGAGGCACGAAAGCUAGGGGAGCAAACAGGAUUAGAUACCCCUGUAGUCC